UGAGCUGCAGGCAGAGAGGAUAAGACAGGAGCUGGCAGGGCCAGUGCCAGCUGGGCAGCCGCAGGCAGCGCUCAGGACCCUCCCACCAUGGCCUGGCUUCCCCUCUACCUCCUGCCCCUCAUCGUCUCCACAGGUCUCUGUGCUGAUCCUGUGCUCACCCAGCCCCCAUCUGCCUCUGCCGCCCAGGGGGCCUCGGCCAAGCUCACCUGCACCCUCAGCGCUGAGCACAGCGGCUACUAUAUUCACUGGUUUCAGCAGAGACCAGGACAGGCCCCUCGGUAUUUGAUGCAGGUUAAGAGCGAUGGAAGCCACACCAAGGGGGACGGGAUCCCUGAUCGCUUCUCGGGCUCCAGCUCCGGGGCCGACCGCUACUUAACCAUCUCCAACCUCCGGUCUGAGGACGAGGCGGACUAUUACUGUGGUGUACCUUAUGGCAGUGGGAGCACCUCGCAGUGACUCACAGUGACUCAGGCGGGUGG